GAUGAACGCUGGCGGCGUGCCUAAUACAUGCAAGUCGAGCGAACGGACGAGAAGCUUGCUUCUCUGAUGUUAGCGGCGGACGGGUGAGUAACACGUGGAUAACCUACCUAUAAGACUGGGAUAACUUCGGGAAACCGUAGCUAAUGCCGGAUAAUAUUUUGAACCGCAUGGUUCAAAAGUGAAAGACGGUCUUGCUGUCACUUAUAGAUGGAUCCGCGCUGCAUUAGCUAGUUGUUAAGGUAACGGCUUACCAAGGCAACGAUGCAUAGCCGACCUGAGAGGGUGAUCGGCCACACUGGAACUGAGACACGGUCCAGACUCCUACGGGAGGCAGCAGUAGGGAAUCUUCCGCAAUGGGCGAAAGCCUGACGGAGCAACGCCGCGUGAGUGAUGAAGGUCUUCGGAUCGUAAAACUCUGUUAUUAGGGAAGAACAUAUGUGUAAGUAACUGUGCACAUCUUGACGGUACCUAAUCAGAAAGCCACGGCUAACUACGUG
rnacentral:rRNA from 1 species